rnacentral:rRNA from 1 species
AACGAACGCUGGCGGCAUGCCUAACACAUGCAAGUCGAACGAGACCUUCGGGUCUAGUGGCGCACGGGUGCGUAACGCGUGGGAACCUGCCCUUAGGUUCGGAAUAACUCCCCGAAAGGGGUGCUAAUACCGGAUAAUGUCUUCGGACCAAAGAUUUAUCGCCUUUGGAUGGGCCCGCGUUGGAUUAGCUAGUUGGUAGGGUAAAAGCCUACCAAGGCGACGAUCCAUAGCUGGUCUGAGAGGAUGAUCAGCCACACUGGGACUGAGACACGGCCCAGACUGAAACCGGCAUCAGGCGUUGGGGCUGGAGGGAAGUGGGCGUGAGGCUUGUACAGCACUUCCGCGGGAGAGAAGAAGGCCAGAGGAGGGAAAAGCAGCUUUACCUGGGACGAUACCGGCAGGACCGGUAAAAUAACCUAACGCCCACUCGAUG